GAUGAACGCUGGCGGCGUGCCUAAUACAUGCAAGUCGAGCGAACAGACGAGGAGCUUGCUCCUUCGACGUUAGCGGCGGACGGGUGAGUAACACGUAGGUAACCUACCUAUAAGACUGGGAUAACUUCGGGAAACCGGAGCUAAUACCGGAUAAUAUUUCGAACCGCAUUGUUCGAUAGUGAAAGAUGGCUUUGCUAUCACUUAUAGAUGGAUCUGCGCCGUAUUAGCUAGUUGGUAAGGUAACGGCUUACCAAGGCAACGAUGCGUAGCCGACCUGAGAGGGGGAUCGGCCACACGGGAACUGAGACACGGUCCAGACUCCUACGGGAGGCAGCAGUAGGGAAUCUUCCGCAAUGGGCGAAAGCCUGACGGAGCAACGCCGCGUGAGUGAUGAAGGUCUUCGGAUCGUAAAACUCUGUUAUUAGGGAAGAACAAACGUGUAAGUAACUGUGCACAUCUUGACGGUACCUAAUCAGAAAGCCACGGCUAACUACGUG
rnacentral:rRNA from 1 species